rnacentral:rRNA from 1 species
ACGGAAGGCAGCAGUGGGGGAUAUUGCACAAUGGGGGAAACCCUGAUGCAGCAACGCCACGUGUGGGAAGACGCAUUUCGGUGUGUAAACCACUGUCGUGAGGGAAUAAGGCAUCGUUUCGGCGAUGUUGAAUGUACCUCGAAAGGAAGCACCGGCAAACUUCGUGCCAGCAGCCGCGGUAAUACGAGGGGUGCAAGCGUUGUUCGGAAUCACUGGGCGUAAAGGGAGCGCAGGCGGAGAUGCAAGCGGACUGUACAAUACCGGGGCCCAACCCCGGACCUGCAGUCCGGACUGCACCUCUUGGAUAGUUCAGGGGCAAGCGGAAUUCCUGGUGUAGCGGUGGAAUGCGUAGAGAUCAGGAAGAACACCGAUGGCGAAGGCGGCUUGCUGGGGACUAAUCGACGCUCAUGCUCGAAAGUGCGGGUAGCAAACAGGAUUAGAUACCCUGGUA